CUGUCUUUGGCUUUUUGGUCUCCUGAUUCUGAGGCACUCAAAGCAGUCGUUUGUCAAACUCCCCUGAACUCGCAGGAGGGCAAACCUCCCUUUGCCGGCUGGUUCGAAGCACACGGUACAAGUGGCUCAAGUUGGAAAGCAAGAGCUCCUCUGUGCUGCCGGCUCCCUCCUGUCCAGUUCUCCUCCGGCCUCUUCGAUGCAGGUUCGGCCUUUUGCUUAUCUGCCAAAUGAUGAAUUAUUUGUUAGGAGUGAGAGACUUCUAGGUAACGGCAAUGCAGCAUUUAUAACGUAUCACGGCCACCUUCCAACAUUAGCAGUUUUCUGUAAGUUUGAAAUUUAUUUCACUAUUUAAAUACAUACAUUUAUUUAUUUCCUUGGCUCUAGCAUUAUAGAAUGGGGAGGGGCUACUAGAGAUCAACUGGUGCUCACACUUUGAAUUUU
rnacentral:lncRNA from 1 species